rnacentral:lncRNA from 10 species
GCUCAGGCUAGUCUUGAGCUCCUAGGCUCAAGCCAUCCUCCUGCUUCAGCCUCCCAAAGUGGUGGGAUUACAGGUUUGAGCCACUGCACCCAGCCAAUUACGUUAUUUUUAAUGCUGAAAAUGCACGUUGAUGACAUUUGCCGAAGUAUGACGAACAAGGGGGUAUCUCUGAAAUACCCUCCUAAAAGAGACGAGAAAUGAAAAGCUGGUUGGUAAGUGUUUCAGGAACUUUCAGAUUGAGAGUAAUGUUAGGAAGUAUUUGCUUUCAAGCAGUUUUUUUUUUCUUUUUGAGAUGAAGUCGCUCUGUUGCCCAGGCUGGAGUGCGUUGGCUGAGCUGAGAUUGCCCCCCUGUACUCUAGCCUGGGUGACAGAGCAAAAUUGUGUCUUUAAA